rnacentral:rRNA from 1 species
GUGAGGAAUAUUGGUCAAUGGACGAGAGUCUGAACCAGCCAAGUCGCGUGAAGGAAGACGGUUCUAUGAAUUGUAAACUUCUUUUGUGCAGGAAUAAAGUGGGUUACGUGUAACCUUUUGUAUGUACUGUACGAAUAAGGAUCGGCUAACUCCGUGCCAGCAGCCGCGGUAAUACGGAGGAUCCGAGCGUUAUCCGGAUUUAUUGGGUUUAAAGGGUGCGUAGGUGGAUUGAUAAGUCAGCGGUGAAAGUUUGCAGCUUAACGGUAAAAUUGCCGUUGAAACUGUCGGUCUUGAGUGCAAAUGAGGUAGGCGGAAUGUGUUGUGUAGCGGUGAAAUGCUUAGAUAUAACACAGAACUCCGAUUGCGAAGGCAGCUUACUGGGAUGCAACUGACACUGAUGCACGAAAGCGUGGGUAUCAAACAGGAUUAGAAACCCUUGUAGUCC